UGGUGCCCCCUUCCCG
rnacentral:sRNA from 1 species